GAUGAACGCUGGCGGCGUGCCUAAUACAUGCAAGUCGAGCGAACGGACGAGAAGCUUGCUUCUCUAAUGUUAGCGGCGGACGGGUGAGUAACACGUGGAUAACCUACCUAUAAGACUGGGAUAACUUCGGGAAACCGUAGCUAAUACCGGAUAAUAUUUUGAACCGCAUGGUUCAAAAGUGAAAGACGGUCUUGCUGUCACUUAUAGAUGGAUCCGCGCUGCAUUAGCUAGUUGGUAAGGUAACGGCUUACCAAGGCAACGAUGCAUAGCCGACCUGAGAGGGUGAUCGGCCACACUGGAACUGAGACACGGUCCAGACUCCUACGGGAGGCAGCAGUAGGGAAUCUUCCGCAAUGGGCGAAAGCCUGACGGAGCAACGCCGCGUGAGUGAUGAAGGUCUUCGGAUCGUAAAACUCUGUUAUUAGGGAAGAACAUAUGUGUAAGUAACUGUGCACAUCUUGACGGUACCUAAUCAGAAAGCCACGGCUGACUACGUG
rnacentral:rRNA from 1 species